AUUGAACGCUGGCGGCAUGCCUUACACAUGCGAGUCGAACGGCAGCGCGGGAGCAAUCCUGGCGGCGAGUGGCGAACGGGUGAGUAAUACAUCGGAACGUGCCCAAUCGUGGGGGAUAACGCAGCGAAAGCUGUGCUAAUACCGCAUACGAUCUACGGCUGAAAGCGGGGGAUCGCAAGACCUUGCGCGAAGGGAGCGGCCGAUGGCAGAUUAGGUAGUUGGUGAGGUAAAGGCUCACCAAGCCUGCGAUCUGUAGCUGGUCUGAGAGGACGACCAGCCACACUGGGACUGAGACACGGACCAGACUCCUACGGGAGGCAGCAGUGGGGAAUUUUGGACAAUGGGCGAAAGCCUGAUCCAGCCAUGCCGCGUGCAGGAUGAAGGCCUUCGGGUUGUAAACUGCUUUUGUACGGAACGAAACGGUUUUUGCUAAUAAAGAAGGCUAAUGACGGUACCGUAAGAAUAAGCACCGGCUAACUACGUG
rnacentral:rRNA from 1 species